rnacentral:rRNA from 1 species
UACGAAGGGGGCUAGCGUUGUUCGGAUUUACUGGGCGUAAAGCGCACGUAGGCGGUUUGUUAAGUCAGAGGUGAAAUCCCGGAGCUCAACUCCCGGGAACUGCCUUUGAUACUGGCAAGCUAGAGUCCGGAAGAGGUAAGUGGAACUCCUAGUGUAGAGGUGGAAUUCGUAGAUAUUAGGAAGAACACCAGUGGCGAAGGCGGCUUACUGGUCCGGAACUGACGCUGAGGUGCGAAAGCGUGGGGGAGCAAACAGG